AAAGUCGUAACAAGGUUUCCGUAGGUGAACCUGCGGAAGGAUCAUUAGAGGGGGGCUAUGCCCCGUAAAAAAGAACCACCCUUGCCCUUACGAGAACCGUAAGUGUUUCCUCGGCGGUCGUCGGCCGCCAAUGGGGAUCAACCAAACGCUUUGCAAUGAGCAGUGACCGUCUGACCAACCCCCAAAAUUAUCACAACUUUCAACGAUGGAUCUCUUGGCUCUG
rnacentral:misc_RNA from 1 species